CCGGAUUCACUGGGUUUAAAGGGUGCGUAGGUGGGUUGGUAAGUCAGUGGUGAACUCCCCGAGCUUAACUUGGGAACUGCCAUUUAUACUAUCAGUCUUGAAUACCGUGGAGGUCAGCGGAAUAUGUCAUGUAGCGGUGAAAUGCUUAGAUAUGACAUAGAACACCAAUUGCGAAGGCAGCUGACUACACGAAUAUUGACACUGAGGCACGAAAGCGUGGGGAUCAAACAGG
rnacentral:rRNA from 1 species